GUCGACAUAGAAAGAUAACAGCAGGUUCUUCAAAGAAGAUAACAGCAGGUUCUUCAUGAACACUAAAGAUUCCAGGAAUUCCGAGAGCAAAUAGUUUAGUCCUGGAAAGAGCCUAAGAAACUACGAAAGGAGCAGAAGGAAGCACACUGCAACAUAGAAGAAAGAACGCCUUCAAAAGGUUGAGAAAAUCCUUCAUCUUAAGUCGCCAUGAUAAAAGCUUGGAUUAAGUUCUCAGCACUACGUUUCUGCUCAGGGGUGCCAGAUAUCUGUGCUAUGCGUUCAGAUCGGGAAGACUUUGAUUCAACAAUUUCUAUACGAGCUCCAGAGAUCUUCUGGAUGUUAUCAAUGUUUGUUCCCCCUCUACCCAUAACUUUACCCAGAGCAUUUGCAGGAAUCAGCACUUCAAUGUAGGAAGGUAGACUGCUGCCAUAGAUCUUUGAUGAGUAAGAUGAAAG
rnacentral:misc_RNA from 1 species